UUUCCGUAGGUGGACCUGCGGAAGGAUCAUUG
rnacentral:rRNA from 1 species